GACGAACGCUGGCGGCGUGCUUAACACAUGCAAGUCGAACGGAAAGGCCCUGCUUUUGUGGGGUGCUCGAGUGGCGAACGGGUGAGUAACACGUGAGUAACCUGCCCUUGACUUUGGGAUAACUUCAGGAAACUGGGGCUAAUACCGGAUAGGAGCUCCUGCUGCAUGGUGGGGGUUGGAAAGUUUCGGCGGUUGGGGAUGGACUCGCGGCUUAUCAGCUUGUUGGUGGGGUAGUGGCUUACCAAGGCUUUGACGGGUAGCCGGCCUGAGAGGGUGACCGGCCACAUUGGGACUGAGAUACGGCCCAGACUCCUACGAGAGGCAGCAGUGGGGAAUAUUGCACAAUGGGCGGAGGCCUGAUGCAGCAACGCCGCGUGCGGGAUGACGGCCUUCGGGUUGUAAACCGCUUUCGCCUGUGACGAAGCGUGAGUGACGGUAAUGGGUAAAGAAGCACCGGCUAACUACGUG
rnacentral:rRNA from 1 species